rnacentral:rRNA from 1 species
CCGCGCGCGCGGCGGGCUACGGGAGGCAGCAGUGGGGAAUAUUGCACAAUGGGCGCAAGCCUGAUGCAGCCAUGCCGCGUGUAUGAAGAAGGCCUUCGGGUUGUAAAGUACUUUCAGCGGGGAGGAAGGUGUUGAGGUUAAUAACCUCAGCAAUUGACGUUACCCGCAGAAGAAGCACCGGCUAACUCCGUGCCAGCAGCCGCGGUAAUA